GGGGGGUGCUGCGGGGAAGGCGGGGGACCCGGGACUUCCAAGUGUCCAAAAACAAUCCAUUGAUACACUUGGUGACAUUAAUUGAGAAAAAAACAAUAUGGUCUGGCCAUGGAGGCAUGGUAUCCGUAACAUCCCCCAAAGGAGCUAAAGAAGAAAUCCACAAUUUACCAUGAGCAUUUCUCGUCUGAAGAUUGCCAAGCGAUUCCUCCAGGACAUUCCUCAAGAUCAAUUUCUGUUCAUCCACCUUGUCCUGGGAGGGACAUCAAUGGGUUUCCAUGUCCUUUGGCUUCUGGUUGAGUUCACUCAGUGGAGAACCCUGGCAAGAGGCAGGAAAAGGGGAGGAAGCAGCCUGACCGGUUUGAAUUUCACCUUCUGUUCACCUUGGAUGAGAGCAGUAAUCAUCACGAUCCCAGGGAACAGCCAAAGGAAGAGAAAAGGCAAAAGAUUUGGACAAGACUCAUGAAGACUAACAGCUCUUGGAUAAUUGAGAGAAGGCAGCUGCGUGAACAGUUUUGAUGCAAUCAUGAAGGCAGGGCCCAGUGCCUGUGGCAUCUGCCUUUUUCUGGAACCAAUCCAUAUUUCCUUGUGGUUUUCUAAGGUGCAGAGAGGGCACAUUGGGAACUUUGCUUGGGGUCUUUUUCACAUCUUAGAGGGAAGGUCCCUCAACAUCUGCAUUGGCGGAGUGUGAUCCUCAUGUCCCUCUGAAUGAUCUGGACUUGAGGUAACCAGCCCCUUCCAGGAAGCUGUCCCAUGAGUGAAGCCUCAGCAGCAGCCUCUGUCAGUCCCUCCCCCACAGAACCUUUGGCUUCCAUUUGACCAGCCUUGACAUCCAGUGUCCAAACACCGAUAAAAUUGAUUCCACUAAGCGUGGGAAAGUCCUGGAGCAUCGAUUGUUUCCUCCUCUGCACCCCCGAUACCCUGGCAUUAGCACUCUCCCAGAAUGUACCUUGCUUGUUUGAUUGGAGGAGGUCAAAGCCCUGAUGAAGAAUGAGUGGAAUUCCACAGGAUUGGAGCAGUCUUGAUAAAUGACAGCAGGGGAUGGUGUGGGGAGGGGAAAGGAUCAGAGGAAGUGUGGAUAAAUGAAUGGCUUAAAAAAUAAUCCACCUUUGCCUCCCCCUUUUCUACCAGUCUGUCUAGUGCUUCAGGGUGAAAAAAAAAAAAAAAA
rnacentral:lncRNA from 1 species